rnacentral:tRNA from 1 species
GCCGAAGUGAUGGAAUUGGCAGACUUGACGGACUCAAUAUCCGUUGCCGGCACCGGCGUGCGGGUUCGACCCCCGCCUUCGGCA